CAAAAACAUCGCCUCUUGAUAAACUAUAAGAGGUCCAGCCUGCCCAGUGACAAAAUUUAACGGCCGCGGUACCCUAACCGUGCGAAGGUAGCAUAAUCACUUGUUCUUUAAAUAGGGACUAGUAUCAACGGCAUCACGAGGGCUGCACUGUCUCCUUUUUCCAAUCAGUGAAACUGAUCUCCCCGUGAAAAAGCGGGGAUAUAACUAUAAGACGAGAAGACCCCAUGGAGCUUUAAACCUCACAGCAGCUCUAAUACACAACCCACUAUAACCCUAAGAGUUAUGCAUGCCGGUUUUAGGUUGGGGCGACCGCGGAGAAAAAAUUAUCCUCCACAACGAAAAGAACUAAGCCUUUAUCCAAGAGCCACCCCUCUAAGAAUUAGUACACUAACGAACAAUGACCCGAUAAUCGAUCAAUGAACCAAGUUACCCUGGGGAUAACAGCGCAAUCUACUUUGAGAGCCCAUAUCGACAAGUAGGCUUACGACCUCGAUGUUGGAUCAGGGUAUCCCUGUGGUGCAGCCGCUACUAACGGUUCGUUUGUUCAACGAUUAAAACCCUACAUGAUCUGA
rnacentral:rRNA from 1 species